AUUGAACGCUGGCGGCAGGCCUAACACAUGCAAGUCGAACGGUAACAGGAAGCAGCUUGCUGCUUCGCUGACGAGUGGCGGACGGGUGAGUAAUGUCUGGGAAACUGCCUGAUGGAGGGGGAUAACUACUGGAAACGGUAGCUAAUACCGCAUAACGUGCAAGACCAAAGAGGGGGACCUUCGGGCCUCUUGCCAUCGGAUGUGCCCAGAUGGGAUUAGCUAGUGGUGGGGUAACGGCUCACCUAGGCGACGAUCCCUAGCUGGUCUGAGAGGAUGACCAGCCACACUGGAACUGGGACACGGUCCAGACUCCUACGGGAGGCAGCAGUGGGGAAUAUUGCACAAUGGGCGCAAGCCUGAUGCAGCCAUGCCGCGUGUAUGAAGAAGGCCUUUCGGGUUGUAAAGUACUUUGCAGCGGGGAGGAAGGCGAUAAGGUUAAUAACCUGUCGAUUGACGUUACCCCAGAAGA
rnacentral:rRNA from 1 species